UACGGGGGGAGCAAGCGUUGUUCGGAUUUACUGGGCGUAAAGGGCGCGUAGGCGGUCGUGACAAGUCACUUGUGAAAUCUCCGGGCUUAACUCGGAACGGUCAAGUGAUACUGUCGGACUAGAGUACAGAAGGGGCAACUGGAAUUCUCGGUGUAGCGGUGAAAUGCGUAGAUAUCGAGAGGAACACCUGCGGCGAAGGCGGGUUGCUGGGCUGAUACUGACGCUGAGGCGCGAAAGCGUGGGUAGCAAACAGG
rnacentral:rRNA from 1 species